GUGGUGGUGGGCACCUGUAGCCCCAGCUACUCAGCAGGCUGAGGCCCAAGAAUAGCAUGAACCCGGGAGGCAGAGCUUGCAGUGAGCCGAGAUUGCACCACUGCAUUCCAGCCUGGGUGACAGAGCAAGACUCGUCUCAAAAAAAAAAUAAAACCCCACAGCCAAAAGAAAAAACAAAAGAGAGAGAGAAGAAGGGCAGAGAGAAAAAGGGAGGGAGAAAAGGAGGAGGAAGAAUGAAAGUUGAAGCAAAUAUGGCAUUAUGUUCAUCACUGUUGAAUCUAGGAAUAGGUAUUUUCUCUAGUUUUGUGAAUGUUUGAAUAUUUUCAUAAUAAAACAGGGUUUCAAAAGGCUUUCUGGGAAAGUAAAUGUAAAGGAGUUGAUAAAAAUAAUGUCAAACAAUCUUUGCAUUCAUUUCAUUCCUGUAGCUUUUCCCAGGCUUCUGCGAGCCAGCCCCUGAAGGCUUCAUUGGCCACAGACAUCUGAACCAACUAAGAGCAGGAAUUCCCCUGAGGCAAGCUGUUCCAAUUUUCCUUGCUUUGGAAAAUUCUGUCUUGUCUCCAACAAGCUCCAAAUCCAGGCCCAGGACAGCCUCCAACCUGGGCAGCAGAAGUCUUCUGUAUAGUCUGAUCUCAAUCAGUAGGACGCUAUGGCUUGCAUUUGUGCCUGUAUCGGUUAGGCUUAACCAAGUGGGUUAAAUAAGAUGGCUUUCUCAUACAAACGGCCAGGGAGAGUGUGCCUGAGAAUGGAAAGAACAAGGAGGAGAAUAAGGCAAAGAGAUGGAGAGACUGCAUCCUGAUGACAUCUUUAGAGCCCGUGGAGCUAGGCAUGCCAGAAACUGGAAGGUUAAACUACAUGAACCAAUAAAUAUACC
rnacentral:lncRNA from 1 species